rnacentral:rRNA from 1 species
AUUGAACGCUGGCGGCAGGCCUAACACAUGCAAGUCGAGCGGAUGAAGGGAGCUUGCUCCUGGAUUCAGCGGCGGACGGGUGAGUAAUGCCUAGGAAUCUGCCUGGUAGUGGGGGAUAACGUCCGGAAACGGGCGCUAAUACCGCAUACGUCCUGAGGGAGAAAGUGGGGGAUCUUCGGACCUCACGCUAUCAGAUGAGCCUAGGUCGGAUUAGCUAGUUGGUGGGGUAAAGGCCUACCAAGGCGACGAUCCGUAACUGGUCUGAGAGGAUGAUCAGUCACACUGGAACUGAGACGCGGUCCAGACUCCUACGGGAGGCAGCAGUGGGGAAUAUUGGACAAUGGGCGAAAGCCUGAUCCAGCCAUGCCGCGUGUGUGAAGAAGGUCUUCGGAUUGUAAAGCACUUUAAGUUGGGAGGAAGGGCAGUAAGUUAAUACCUUGCUGUUUUGACGUUACUAACAGAAUAAGCACCGGCUAACUUCGUG